rnacentral:rRNA from 1 species
CCUCCGAAUUGGGGAUAACAUUGCGAAAGCGAUGCUAAUACCGAAUGACAUCUCAAUAACUCCGGUCUUUGAGAUCAAAGGUGGCCUCUCCAUGGAAGCUAUUGUUUGGAGAUGAGCCCGCGUACCAUUAGCUUGUUGGUAGGGUAAUGGCCUACCAAGGCAACGAUGGUUAGCUGGUCUGAGAGGAUGAUCAGCCACACUGGAACUGACACACGGUCCAG